rnacentral:rRNA from 1 species
GACGAACGCUGGCGGCGUGCUUAACACAUGCAAGUCGAACGAUGAAGCCGGAGCUUGCUCUGGUGAAUUAGUGGCGAACGGGUGAGUAACACGUGAGUAACCUGCCCUUGACUCUGGGAUAACUGCGGGAAACUGUAGCUAAUACCGGAUACGACCCUCGGAGGCAUCUCCUGGGGGUGGAAAGAAUUUCGGUCAAGGAUGGACUCGCGGCCUAUCAGCUAGUUGGUGAGGUAAAGGCCCACCAAGGCGACGACGGGUAGCCGGCCUGAGAGGGUGACCGGCCACACUGGGACUGAGACACGGCCCAGACGCCUACGGGAGGCGGCAGGGGGGAAUAUUGCACAAUGGGCGCAAGCCUGAUGCAGCAACGCCGCGGGAGGGAUGACGGCCUUCGGGUUGUAAACCUCUUUUAGCAGGGAAGAAGCGAAAGUGACGGUACCUGCAGAAAAAGCACCGGCUAACUACGUGCCAGCCGCCGCCGUAA